CACAGCGGGACUCGAUUACAGCUGCAGGAACCAAACCGACAGUGUUGCUAGGCAGAUGUAACCAGAGCUACCUUUAAUAAGGGUGGUCGUAAAAAGUCCCUCCGAGACGAUGGAGCCGCAGUCAGCACACACACGCUGGGUUUGUGAAUACAAAUCAUCGUCGACUACGUUGGCGGAGCCGCACUGCGGACAGCUCGGCAUCUCUGGCCUGGAUGCUGGGAUUCUCCUCCAUCACGCGCACCAGCAGGUUAUCGAUGUACUGCUCCAGCUCCUGGAUGCGGGCGUCGCGCUGGCACA